rnacentral:rRNA from 1 species
CCUACGGGAGGCAGCAGUGGGGAAUAUUGGGCAAUGGGCGCAAGCCUGCCCCAGCAACGCCGCGUGAAGGAAGAAGGCUUUCGGGUUGUAAACUUCUUUUCUCAGGGACGAAGCAAGUGACGGUACCUGAGGAAUAAGCCCCGGCUAACUACGUGCCAGCAGCCGCGGUAAUACGUAGGUGGCAAGCGUUAUCCGGAUUUACUGGGGGUAAAGGGCGUGUAGGCGGGCCUGUAAGUCAGAUGUGAAAACCACGGGCUCAACCUGUGGCCUGCAUUUGUAACUGUAGUUCUUGAGUACUGGAGAGGCAGACGGAAGUCCUAGUGUAGCGGUGAAAUGCGUAGAUAUUAGGAGGAACACCAGUGGCGAAGGCGGUCUGCUGGACAGCAACUGACGCUGAGGCGCGAAAGCGUGGGGAGCAAACAGGAUUAGAUACCCCGGUAGU